rnacentral:ncRNA from 1 species
GCUGGCGCCUUUAUCCAACGGAUCGUCGGGCUCGUACCUGCCCGGUUAAGGGAGUUACUU